ensembl:lncRNA
UGAGGGCCCUCGGAGUGUGGUGUCAGGAAAAUAACCUCACACUCAAUGUCAACAAAACAAAGGAGAUAAUCGUGGACUUCAGGAAACAGCAGAGGGAGCAGCCCCCUAUCCACAUCGACGGGACAGUAGUAGAGAGGGUGGAAAGUUUAAAGUUUCUCGGCUUCACAUCAUGGACAAACUGAAAUAGUCCACCCACACAGACAGCGUGGUGAAGCUGUACCUGUAGUUAGUAUUACAUCCACCCAGGUCUCUGUCACCAACACUACAGCUGUACCUGUAGUUAGUACUACAUCCACCCAGGUCUCUGUCACCAACACUACAGCUGUACCUGUAGUUAGUACUACAUCCACCCAGGUCUCUGUCACCAACACUACAGCUGUACCUGUAGUUAGUACUACAUCCACCCAGGUCUCUGUCACCAACACUACAGCUGUACCUGUAGUUAGUACUACAUCCACCCAGGUCUCUGUCAC